UGUGGGAGCGAGCUUGCUCGCGAAGGCGUCGGCCCCUUCAGCACAUAGGUGACUGAAGGUCCGUCUUCGCGAGCAAGCUCGCUCCCACA
rnacentral:antisense_RNA from 1 species